rnacentral:rRNA from 1 species
UACAGAGGUCCCAAGCGUUGUUCGGAUUCAUUGGGCGUAAAGGGUGCGUAGGCGGCGCGGUAAGUCGGGUGUGAAAUCUCGGAGCUUAACUCCGAAACUGCAUUCGAUACUGCCGUGCUUGAGGACUGGAGAGGAGACUGGAAUUCCCGGUGUAGCAGUGAAAUGCGUAGAGAUCGGGAGGAACAUCAGUUGCGAAGGCGGCUCUCUGGACCAGCACUGACACUGAGGCACGAAAGCGUGGGGAUCAAACAGG